rnacentral:rRNA from 1 species
UACGGGGGGGGCAAGCGUUGUUCGGAAUUACUGGGCGUAAAGGGCUCGUAGGCGGCCAACUAAGUCGGAUGUGAAAUCCCCAAGCUUAACUUGGGAACUGCAUCCGAUACUGGAUGGCUUGAGUCCGGGAGAGGGAUGCAGAAUUCCAGGUGUAGCGGUGAAAUGCGUAGAUAUCUGGAGGAAUACCGGUGGCGAAGGCGGCAUCCUGGACCGGCAUUGACGCUGAGGAGCGAAAGCUAGGGGAGCAAACGGG